ACACCGGUGGGCGGGGCGAGCGGGGUCUUGCGGAGAGGCGCCGAGCCUGCGCCGGAGCCGCGCUCUCUGCGCGUGCGCGACGCCUUGUCUGCUGAAAGAUUAGCCACAUGUGGGGUUCUCGCUGCCUUCUGGGAGGUUUUAUACGCUCCCUCGAAGCGCGUCGGUUGCUGCUGCGUACCCAGCCAGGCCCAUUUUGGAGCCCGCCCAGAGCUUUGCUGACUCACGCCGGUCCCUGACUCUCAGAAGCCCACUGCUCAGUGCUUUGCUUUCGCGGGUCCCCAGACCCUACGGGCUCCUGAGCCUGAUGGCCAGCGCCACCCGCCUCCCCGCCGCGACCGCCUUUUCACUGUAUAAUUCAGCCGACCUUUGUGAAUUAAGCCCAUUCAGUUCUUCCACCACCCCAGGGCACGACCAAAUCCACCGCCAAAGGGCAAGAAAGCCGGGACAACGUGGCCUGUAUAAAUUAUUCCCUGCCUACACCCAGAGCAGACUUCCCUGCACUCAGCAAAUGCCAAUAAAAGGCUAUUUCCUUUCACCGA